UACAAGUACAUCAUUUUACAACGUGAAAAACAUGAUAGCAAAUACUAAAAUGUACAUCAAACGAAACAUUAGUGAUCCAGCAAUCGUCAAUAAAUAUAACAGCAGAAAUCAGAAACAAUAUAGUUUGUCACGUGGAAGAAAUAAAAACACUCACAGUUCUUGUCCAACAUUUCUGUAUGGUGAAAAAAGAACUUCCGAAAAGGCCAGUUAAUUCCAAAACAAACCAAUGAACACCACAAGUUCAAAAUGAAAUAUACAGUUUUAUGUCUACAGCUUACCUAUGUCUCAUGAUGGUUGAUUAAAAUAAAAUUUAAAUUUUGGAUUUUUUUUUUGUUAGUAUCAAUAAUAUUUAAAACAACCUAUUUCUGUUCAUUGCAAAGCAACAUGUAUUUAUUUUAUUCUCAUCAAAGAGGAACUGGACCACGUCCACGCCCACUGUGAGAGAAUGAAAGAAAUAAAAUGGGAAAACUUUCAUAACUUAUAACCAAAGAGUUUCAUCCAAGGUUUACUAGCUUAUAGGCUUACUAGCUCAAGGUUUAAUAGUUUAUAAAUUUACUAGCUCAAGGUUUACUUGUUUAUAGGUUUAACAGUUUAUAAGUUUACUAGCUGAUAGGUUUACUAGCUUAUAGGUUUACUACUUUAUAAGUUUACUAGCUGAUAGGUUUACUAGUUUAUAGGUUUACUAGCUUAUAGGUUUAAUAGUUUGUAGGUUUACUAGCUUAUAAGUUUAAUAGCUUAUAGUUUUACUAGCUUAUAGGUUUACUAGCUUAUAGGUUUAAUAGCUUAUAGGUUUACUGAUAAGAAAAGUCCUUAAUAUAGAAACCUCAGUAUUUAACUUUCUCUCUCUUUAUGUAUUUAUCUAUCAAACUAACUUUCAACUAUAAUACAGACCUAGUUUUUCAGUUCACCUCAUACUGAACGAUUGAAGUUCAUGUUCUGUGAAUUUCUUUUCAGUUUCACGAUGGAACAUGUAGUGGUAGUGCAUAUGUGUUAUUGUUUUAUUUUUAUGGUGUUUAAACUUGUGGGCUAAUUUUCAGAGGAAUUGUUCUUAUGUUUUAUAUUUAUCCUUGGUUACACGUUGCUUUUAUACUUUAUAAAUUAUUCCCAAAGAACAAAAGUUUAAAAUCAUGGGAAUUGAAACUUGUUAAUCACUCCACGCCGAGCCACAUUUCAUUAGGCAGCUUGCCUCCAUCUUGCCAAGCCUGUUCACGUGCUGUUUUACAUAAGCAGUUUUAUUUUGUUUUAUGGUUUCCUAUAUGCAGAAGCGUUACCGAUAUUAUUCUAUACGGAUAUUGUAGGGAAAUUUUACAAACGUAUAAAAAGAGUUUAUUUCAAACUAAAAAAAUAUUUUCAAUGAAGACGACAAACAAUUUCAGGUAAAUGUUUAUUUACUCAACCCGACGUUUCAGCUUACGCCUUUUUGAAGGAUCUAUGAACGUCACGGGUUUAUAUACAGGUUCAUAAAUUCAGUUAAAACUAUGUUGUACAGAGCCAAGCUAUCAAAAAGAAGAACAUGAAACAAAUGUAUAUGAGAAAAUUACUUUCUGUUGUCGUUCCUGAAUAUAAUAAUACACACCCAUAUUGAAAAUCCAAAUACUCUACCUGUUGUUAUGUUCGAUGUCCUAAAGAAAACUAUUACUUUAGUCAUACUCUAGUUAGGCACUACUUCAUACAUGAUUAAGAAGAAAAUUAUCAAUCAAUUAUAUCUACAAGUUCAGUUAAAUAUGUCUUGAAAACAGAGUCUAGGUUAAAAGGGCUCUUCAACCUUUAAAGGCAAACGUAUAUGAGUUAAUGUGACCUAGGUACAACCAGGUUUAUAUUGGAUCAACGAUUACAGGACCCUGACGCUAAACCUACAACACCAGUAGUAUUGCCAACCACCGCCUAAACGAACGUGAUACUGCCUACUUCCAAUUUUUUUACACGUCAUCACCCGUUCCCGGGAAGAAUCCCUCUUUAGAAUAUUACGAAAACUGGCUUUUAACCAUAAAAUUAGUGUGCUAUAACUACAUUUUAAAUUGUGAAAAUGUAAAUAAAAUAAGAGAACAUGAACUUCCGAUCGUUGUAAUACAAAUCUACAAUAAAUAAUUUAAAACGACACUUGUGUAAAACAUUAUAUUUAUAAUUAAAAGGAAUAGAACGUUAAAAUCAUUACACAACAAAUAGUUAAACAAACAGUGACUU